UGUAGCUCCGACAAAAUAAAGUUAAUUGUGGUUGCUUUGUUCACCAAAGUUCACUGUUGUUUUACUGUUCAUGCAUCAUUUGCUUUUAAAUGUCUGUGUUGAAACUAUUUGCAUGAUUGAUGCACUCACGCGGGCUUGAUUUUAGGUGGCGGAAACUGCUAAAAAGCUUUGGAUUCUUAUGAUUGCCGAUGAAGUGUAUGAACACCUUACAUUUGGAAACAAUCCAUUUGUACCAAUGGGUGUUUUUGGACAUACUGUUCCUGUUCUAACACUUGGUUCUAUAUCAAAGUGAUGGAUAGUUCCUGGCUGGCGUGUUGGUUGGCUUGUGACUAAUGAUACCCAAGGCAUAUUGCAGGAAUCAGGGCUUGUGGAGAGUAUUACGAGCUUCCUAAACAUCUCUUCUGAUCCAGCAACCUUCAUUCAGAUCUUUUUAAAGUGUUCAAUAAUCCGAGGGAGCGGCCUUUCACCUUUGAGGAGAUAGAUGAAGUUCGAGAAAUGUUGGCAAGCUUCAUUACCAGUGAUUGUCUUUGAUAUUUUCUUGUAAUGAAUCUUAAAUUAUGGAUGCUAGUUUUUCAUAUGAUUGUAAGGUAAUCGACUUUUAUAUUUACAAUUAUAUACUAUUUAAUUUAAUUAUCUAUAUAAUUGGAUACUUUUUAUGUGACGUAUGGAGAUUAAUCAGUGGCGUGGUCCAAUUAUAAUAUGUA